CUGUCUACAGAGAGGGCCUGGGAGUAGCAGCUCUCCCCAGUAAGAACGAGCCCAUUUAGCACCCAGAUGUUGGCUUCUGUAUACCACUCUCCACCAAAGGAACUCGGGUUCCUUAGAGACAUGGCUGAUUCUAGGGCUGAGGCGGGGAAAGUACAAGAUGAAGCUGGAAUGGCUUGUUGUGCCAGAAAUUAAGGAAAUACUCAAAGAAUGGUGGACACGUGCCAAAAUGCCCCAGGAACCACUUGAAGGGGCAACCACUGGCCAAUUCUGGGGCAAUUUGAGAAUUAAUGGUAAAGAAUGAUAGUCAUGGAUUAUAAACUGCUGAAUACAACAGGAAACCAUGAGUCCAUCCUGCUAUAAAUAAAUAAGUGAAUAAAUGGUCAGUUUGGUGAGGAAUGGGAUAGUUACCUAGUCUCUGAGUAUCUCCUUCUUAAUUACAAAGGGAGAAAGAGUCACUUGACAGUGGAGAAACCUGGCAGACACCACCUUAAUCAAGUGACCCCAGUUGACAUGAUGGAACAAAUUCAAAGCUAAGUAGGUGCCACCUGGGAGAAUCCUGCCACAAACGAACCCAGCCAUGAGGAAACAGCAGCCAAACCCAAAUGCUACAAAAUAACUGACCCGACAUCUUGAAAAGCGUCAAGGCUGUGAAAGGAAGGCCUGGCUCCUGGCUGAGUCGCCCACGGUGGGUGAAGGCUCUGACUGUGCCAUCCCCAUGCCUACCAUUUCCUCGUGAGGGUGAGGUCGUCGUGGUCAGCAGCAGGGUGAUGAGGGGGAGCUCCCUUCUGCCAGGACCGAGCCAGUCACGAGAGGAGCCAGCUCUGCCGCAGGAAGGGGGAAGAUGAACAAAAAGUGGGCCCUUGGUGAUUUUUAGACCAGUUGUAUCCAGCAUCACCUGCUGCCAGACUCUUGGGCCUCUUCAUUGUUUGGGCCAGUUUGAAUCAUAUCUUCAAGUUCAGCUACACAAUACUGCAAGUGAAAGCAUCUUCCUGUGCGGGUGUCUGUUCCCGGGCCUGGGAUAUUGCCAUGACCACCAGGUGCGUGCAAGGUCAUGGCCCUUUGACCUCUGAGCCCCUCCUCCAGGUUGCUGUCAUACCCCACCCUCUGAAGAUGCUGGUAGUGGAACCCGGACAGGCAUCCACGAGCUCCUGGCUCGGCCCUUGGAACCGGUGGGGCUGCCUUUCUCACUGAGGACCCCCACUCCGCCCCCACCCCCCAUCCACAAGGCCCAGGCACUUAAGACCCUGAAUCAUCCACCUUCAGAGGCCUCUGCACCAGAGCUAUGAGGAAGACGCCUUCUCAGCCGAAUUCCCCUCUCAGCCUCUGACUGGAAGCUGCACAAGGAAAGCUCAGAAGGGGCUACCUCCUAGCUGGUCAUGACCCAGCUGUGCCCCAGGUGUUUGGAGGUCACCCAGGGGCUCUUCUCCACUUGAGGGCAACAGCAACAAUCUAUUACAUGCCUACUGUGUUCCAGGUGUUCUGCCGGGAGCUUUCAGGGCAGUCC